rnacentral:rRNA from 1 species
AACGGCCGUACCAUGCUGAAUAUACCGGUUCUCGUUAGAUCACCGAAGUCAAGCAUCAUUGGGCGCGGUCAGUACUUGGGUGGGUGACCACCUGUGAACACUGCGUGCCGUU